AUGAUCCUCUGGCUAAACUUAGUGUCCUUACUGGCAGUCCUCAGAGGAGCUCAGUGUGAGGUCCAGUUGGUGGAGUCUGGAGGGGACGUGAGAAGGCCUGGAGAGUCCCUCCGUCUCUCCUGCCAAGCCUCCGGAUUCACCUUCAGCAGCGUCCACAUGGACUGGGUGCGACAGGCUCCAGGGAAAGGUCUGGAAUGGGUGGCCCGCGUAAGUACAUCUUCUAAUACAUACUACUCGGACAAAGUGAAGGGACGCUUCACCAUCUCCAGGGACAACUCCAAAAGCCAAGUCUAUCUGCAAAUGGACAGCCUGAAUCCAGAGGACACGGCAGUCUAUUACUGUGCGAGGGACACAGUGAGAGGAAGUGAAUCUGAAGCCUGGCAAAAACCUUCCCUUCUGUAG